UGUGGGCCCUAACAGCACUAAUGUGUGUCUU
rnacentral:piRNA from 1 species